GCAUCGAUAGCUCACCGUUUAGCAGAGCGGUUGGGCGUUUACCCAUGCGGCCCGGGUUCGAUCCCCGGUCGAUGUA